AGGGAGCCCAUGAAUACUUCUAGCAGAGUUGUCACUUGAUGAAAAGUAGUGUGAUGGGACCACCAAUCUGGGGCAGAUGUCCUAGCAUGGCUUAGAGUGGAGAUCCAGGAAGCAGGAGGACCAGGAAGAUAAGCAUCUAGAAUUCAUGUUUAUAGGAUAUGCAUCUGAGCCUGUGAUGAGACCUCUACUGGGAUUCUUCUUAAAAGGAGUCAAGAAAUGAAGUGAGAAGAUUUUUUUCUUCUUUAUUCUCGAGCAAAAACAAUGUGGGAUAGAGAAGCCACAGGCCAAACCCUCUUAGGAAAGCUGGCCAGGAAUGCAAGCACCAUGAAAGUUCUUUCACAAGAAAAGGAGAAUUGCUUCCUAGGGUUAUCCUGAUUUCAAAGUCAAGGUAGCAUGAGAUUGGCUUAUUUUUGCGCUGGGCUUGAAAAUGUAACUGACUCAGGAGAGAAAUGUUAGGACCAAUUUCUGGCCUUGAGAAAUUCCCUAUCAGGAGGUUGGUACAAAGGUGCAUUUGCAGUAAUCAGCUCUUUUCUUUAGCUUACACCUCCACCUGCAUCAUGCAAUUGCAUCAAUACCUCCUCAAAUUCCCAUAAGAUUAUUUUUGAGAAAACUUAAUGUGUUACUAUGUAACUUCUCUGAGCCUCAGUUUCCUCCCCUGUCCAAUGGGGCUGAUGAUAUUUUAGCAGCACUAAGUUGUAUCACAGAAGUAAUUAUCCAAAUAUAGUACCUAGUACUUGGCUGUCACCUAAUACUUGCCUCAUACCAUCACAUCUAGGAAAGUUAAAAUACCUUUUUUAAAUGACACACUUUGUGAGAAAAAUUAGGCCAAAUAUGUAAGGAAGAAAUUAUUAGUUAUUAAUAUUUUCCCCAGUCAGUUUCUAAGUUCCUCAGAUUAUUUAUCCCAAGAUUUGUGGGAAGAAGCUCAAAUGAGACAGGGUCUAGGAAAACCUGUUGCAAGCUAUUAAGUGUUCUCUGCCUAAAAGGGACCAUCUUAGACCUGAGGGGGCCUGCUUCCUUGCUUUCAGCAAGACUGCUGGUGCCCCAAAGCCAGCAUCAGUGCAUGGAAGAGGGCUUAUGAUCAGCCCUGCGUGCCUGCUAAUGAUGACCACAAGCGGCCUUGAAGAGGCUUUUCAUCACCACACCUUGUCUUCUUCCAACUCCAAUUUGUACAGCCUAUGGGUUGCUUCACUUCCAGGAGCCAGACCCCAGGGGCUGUUAAUAGCCAAGGUCACCAGUGUGAACCUCCGCUCAUCCUAGCCAGCAUGGCUGUGACUUCCCAAGAGAAGAUAAAAGACUGAUAGGCCCCCCCCAAGAGAGGAGAGAGCGACACUUCUCAUUAACAGAGGGCCGGUCAGGGAGUAGGAUGCAAAUGGCCCUGAUGCCCCUGUGGCUGCUGCCACUCUCAUUGCCUCCUGGCACAUCACGGCAGGUGGAUGACAACUUGUCUCACUGAAGAACUCUGAAACUGUUUCUAGGGGUGCUUUUGGGAGAAGCAGAGGCAAAUCCUGCUAGAGCUUUCUGAUACCAACCCUAUGGCAUUUGUCCUCUUGACUCCAUACCUAAGGCUUCAGCACAGUCCUCCACUUGAAAUGUAGGCCUAGAGGAGGACACACCUCUGGAGGAACUCAUUCCAGCUUUACUUUCUUCGAAUACACAGGCACGCACACGUGCACACACACACCCCUACACACACGCACACACACACACACACACACACACACACACACACACACCUUUUUCCUAUUUUUUUUAGGGCAGUGAGAGGUUCUCAAAUUUCAGUGUGCAUCAAAAUAACCUGGAAAAUUUAUAAACAUACAGGGCCACACCCCAGACCUACAGGGCCUAGGGAAUCUAUGUUUUAACCAGUUUUCCAGGUAAUUCUGGUAUAAAUGAUCAUGAGAUCACACUUUGAGGUAUACUAUUCAGGAGUUAAAAAAUAAUUACAGAACCUAUUUUAUAGAGUUUUAAAAACUGGAAGACAAUUCAAAGGUAUGUAGAAUAGCCUUUCAUUCUACAAAUGAGAAAGUGGAUAGAGGCCUAGGCUGUAGCUGCCUGCCAGAGUUCAAACCCUGGCUCAGCCUCUUACAAGCUGGAUGAUUUGGGGUAAGUUACUUAAAUACCCCGUGCAUCAGUUUUCUCAUCUAUACAACAGAAACAAUAUAAAAUGUUACCUAUCUCAUGAGAGAUUUUAUGAGGUUUAAAUGCAUUCAUAUAGUCAAAGUUUUGGAAAAGUGCCUGGCACAUAGUGAACAUUCAAUAAAUUAUUUGUAUCUUUCAGGUUCAAUCAGAAAAACAGGACCACUUCGAGUAGUAUAGAAUAUGGGAUAUAUUACAAGGCUUAGACCAGACAUAAUUGUGGGAACUCAUUAUGUUGCUACUUUAGGGGGCAGUUUCUGCUUUUGAUGCUGGCCCAAAUGUCAGCAGGGCUAGAAACAUAGAAGAAAAGAUAGACAUCAAGUAGGAAUAACGAGGACAGACUAGAAUCUGCAAGAAUUAGCUGGAACAAUAUGUGCUGCUUCUUCAAUCUCGGUGAUGCUGUUGGCCUACAAGAUAAGCUGGCAGCCUGCACCAUAGGGUCACACCUGCUCUUGUCCCAGUACUCAGAGAAGUUGAAAGAGGGGAUCUGGCAGGAGCUGAAGGAGCUGCAGCAUCAACUGUGCUCUAAACCAACCAAGUAAGCCAGCAUAUCAGUGACCACGUGCAAGAGCUUGUAGCUGCCCUCAUUAACCUUUAGAGGAUAAAGAAAAUAAAAUAGCCCUUCUUCACUUUCCCCUUUCAAAUCUCACAUGACUUGGAACAUUAACUUGUGGCCAACCUUAACCUGAAAUUGUAUAGCCAAGGGGACUCUAAGAUUUGCAGUUCCAGCUUAGCUAAGUUGACAAAGUACAAAAACCAUCAUAUUGUCAAUUUCUCUUAAUACACAUCAGGAAACUGAACAGAGCUGGUGAGUACCUUAGGCAAGGUCACACAGCAAAUUUUUGGGAGAAGAGAGAGAGAAAGACCUAGGCUUAGGCUACUCAGCUUCUGAUAGUCAAGCCUCCUGGUUGCCACAAAGAACUUAAGAAGGUGUCCCUCUGAAUGUUUCUUAAACCUACAGAGGGAAAGCCCAAGGAGAUGAUGGGUCUGUUUCAAUAAUACAUUCACUGAGGGACUGCUAGGUGCCAGUUAGUCUGUCGUCAGGCAGGUAGGACUCCCUUCUUUGCUUACAGAGAAGAAAACUGCAUUGGUAAGUACAAUAAAAGGCCAAAGAGAUACAUGCUUCAAGGGAGAGACAAUGGUAGUGUUUUAGGGUGGAGCUUGUUAAAAGAUAGGUUAUCAGACCAUGUCAAGUGGCUUUUGCCUAAUACUCAAAGGUCAUCAAUCUAGAUCCUAUUUCUCUACCCUCUUAUCCCUUGCUACUCCGCCGAAAUGAAGUACGAUAUAUGGGACAAUUUACUUUGAAGCCUCUUGCUACUGUGAUAACAUGGAUACUGUUGUUUUCUCCAACAUCCAUCUGAGUAAAUCAGGCUAAGCAUUACCUCCUUGCCACAGUGGUUGCUUCAAGUUACCCAGACCUAAGCCAGGUACUAGAGUCCAUUUGGUUGCUGGUGUUGAGAUGAUCACUUAAAAAAUUGUCUAACUCUUUGAGACCAGCCUGGCCAACAUGGUGAAACCCUGUCUCUACUAAAAAUACAAAAAUUAGCUGGGUGUGGUGGUGCACACCUGUAAUUCCAUCUACUCGGGAGGCUGAGGCAGGAGAAUUGCUUGAACCUAGGAGUCGGAGGUUGCCAGAUAUUUACUCAAUGGUUGGAGGAAGUGCAUUUCCUCUUCCACUAGAUACUGAAAAGGAAUUAUCACACUGAUUGUGCUAUCCGCAGCUGACAAACACAGAAGGAACCAGUUGUAGCCUAGAGUCAACAUUAUGGAUGGCAGAAUGAAAGAAACAUCAUUGGGCCAUUGAAUCAACCAUCUCGGAAGCCUGCUUGAACUCUAGGCUUUCCAGUUAACUGAGUCAUUGUGUUAUCCUGUGUUUGAAAUAGUUCAAGUUGGACUUUUCCAUUACCUCUUAUAGAAAACGUCUGCAUUAAUACACGUGCCUUUGAAUAUGCUGAGGAUAUUUUUCCUCUGCUAAAAUAACAGUUCUUCUUACUUUACCUAAAGUCUUCUACUUUUCUCUCAAGAACUUGUUCAUUGUCUCAUCCAUCCCAAAGCCUUUGCUGAUCUAUUUCCAGAGCCUCUAUUCCCACUUAGGUUCUGAUGUUCUUUCAACUCUUGUCUGUUUUUCCCAGAGGUGCCAAAGACCACAGGGCUUGGUUUUAUGUUGUGUCUCUAUGGCUUUUGACUUUUGGUCUUUCAUUGACUCUGGCUUCACUGCUGCCUUUCUGAGUCUUCCCAAUUAAGAAAACUUAGAGGAGAAUGCCCACACUCAAAGCACCCAGGAUUGCCAAGAGAGAACCUUAAAUAGAAGAGAAGGUACUGGAGUCCAUUUGGUUGCUGGUGUUGAGAUGACCAAUUAAAAAGUUAUCUAACUCUCUGAGACCAGCCUGGCCAACAUGAUGAAACCCUGUCUCUACUAAAAAUACAAAAAUUAGCCAGGUGUGGUAGCACACGCCUAUAAUCCCAACUACUUGGGAGGCUGAGGCAGGAGAAUCCACUUGAACCCAGGAGUCAGAGGUUGCAGUGAGCCAAGAUCAUGCCAUUGCACUCCAGCCUAGGCAACAAGAGCAAAACUCCUUCUCAAAAAAAAAAAAAAAAAAUUGUCUAACUCUUUGUAUGGAAAGUUUGGAAUAAUCAGGGACUCCUAUCAAGACCUUUAGCUUCCACCAUGCAAACAUCAUAUAGGAUGAAUCACCUUCCGGAUCUUCCAACCAGGGUCUUUGUUCGGCUUGAACAACUAAAAUUAGCAGUUUAUUCACGGUCCAUAAUGGCUGGGGAAUUAUUUCAUACAUAUGGGACAAAGGAGAGGGAUCCAAAGAGGGCCCUCUUCCCUAAGUCUCAUUCAUGAGAUUCUUCUCAUUGAAGAGGCACUCUCAAGCAUCCAAUUUGCUGCAAUUAUAGCAAUCAAAAAAGCAUUCAGUCUCCUUCCGCACCUGACAAGCCAGCUCAUGCAUUCUCACCAACAGUGGUGGGGUGGAUGCUAUUGCAGCUCCCAUCCCCCUGAUUCCAGCUACAGCCACUAAUACCACCCUUAUCCCCACACCCAGAGCUAGAGGUGGUUCACAGUCCAAGGAACUCCGUCAUGUUAACAUCGAUGGUAGACCUGUAGCUGCCCAGAUUCACAUGGGCUUACUGGUUCUCUAGAAAGAGACUGGUUUGCCUUUAGUAUUGGCUUAUAAAUAUCUCUAUCCCCAUGGCCUGAAAGAGAACUGAUGAUAGAUAAACUUCUCCAUUAUGUAAGUUUCUAAGGGCUGAUAAAUAAGCUCCUGCCAUGAUAACAGGUGCAGGUGUAGCGCCAUGGAGAAGCCAGGGCCUGUCUGAUUGCUGCAUUGUGCCAGCAUUCAUGUUACUUGAAUGGGUGCUUUGUGAGAAUACAGUCUCUGCAGAUUGCAGGGACCGGCUGCUGCUGGUGAAAGGGUGGGGGUCUGUUGAUGAAAGUCCCAUUAACAACACACAAAUAACUCCCAGCUUCCUCUUCUCAGUUGCCUCUUUGUUCUAGGCCAAUGGCUCUCAGGAGAGCUGAAAAUGUUAUUUAAUUAUUUCUAACCCCCAUACUGCUGCUACUAGGACUCCUUCUGGAAUAUCCAUUCCCAGCAAGGCAUCUGUAUUCAUUCUCAUGAGCCACUCCAGGCUUGCCAAUGGAUGAAAGAAGUCUGCAACCACUGUAAACAAUCAGGCUGGUGUUGAGUCACUUAUGUGGACCACCACUGUGCCACUCCUUCUGACCACUCCAGCUGCUCCACCUCUGACAGGCUUCCAUCUACCUUGGAGGCCAGCUGACCACAGUACUUAGAUCAUUACUUGAUCUCUCAAUCCCCUCUGAGAGUCUUUGGGAAACAACAUGCGAAUGUUUAUCAUUGUUAAGUCUGGUCACUGAGCCUCAUGGAAAAUUCUCCCCUCUUUUCUCAAUUUUCUCAUUUAUAAAAUGGGAAUAAUGAGAAUACUCAGACCUUCUUCAAGAGGUUAUUUUGAGUCCCAAGUGAGAUAAUACCUGCAGAAUACUGAAUAUUCAAUUAAGGAGGUGCUCAGUAAGAGCACUACUAUUUCAUUACUGUUUCUCUCAUGUCAAUUAUUAGGGUAUUUUAAAAUAUCUUUCUCCAGAAUAUCUUUCUAUCUCCCAAUAUGACGAUAAGUUCUCCUAGAGCAGGGCACUUCUAAGUUUUCUGAUGCGUCCACACAAUUUAUCAGGCAGCUGGAACAUGGAAUGAACACUUGCAUGGCAGCCAGGAGCCUCAAGCUGGAGUCCCAGCACCACCUGUGAUUACCUCAUUCCUCUGUCUGGCUGUCUUUCAUUAGGUCUUCUAUUAUCUCCUCUGUGCCCUCACUCUCCCUUCCCUUCUUAAAUCCCCAUCCUUCUACCUUGGCCUCACCUACUGAAAUCUCACUCCACCUUCCAGUUCAAACCAAAUUCCCCACCUUCUGGGAAUCCCUUCCUCAGUAGCUGCAGACUACACUGGCCUGUCUUUUCCCAGACUUCUCAUUCCUUCAUGUUAGCACCACAAUGCUUAGCAACUAGUGGCUUUUUCAAUAAGAAAGAUGUAGUCUUAUUUAUCUCUUUGCACAACUCCCUUCUCUAUUGUGUUUUCCACAUUUACAUACCACUUUGGGGCAGAAAUUGGCCCAGUGGCCAAAUCUGGCCCACUUUCUUUUUGUAUGGUCUAAAGCUAAGAAUGUUUUUGUAUUUUAAAUAGUCAAAAAAAGAUCAAAAGAAGAAAAAUGUUUCAUGAAGUGUAAAAAUUACCUAAAAUUUAAAUUUUGGCAUCUACAAAUAAAGUUUUAUUGGAACGUAGCCACACUCAUUUGUGAAGCAGGUUCACUGUGCACUGGUUACCAACUUGUCUGAGUCUGGUAAGGCAGAAGAUCCUUAAACAUAACAAAUUACAUGAAACAAAUUUAUUAUUUACAGAUAAACAGCAAGGGAUAACAGAAGUGUAGGAUUGAUUGUGAGCUUCUCCCCCCAAACUCAGAAAAACUGCCAGGCCUAUGGUAACAUCUCCGUUUUCAGAAGCUCAGAAAAGUAAGCUGCUUGCUCAAGAAUGGACGGCUUCAAGGUGGCAGAGCUGGAAGUUUCUAACUCACUCACCUCAUACUCAGACCUGCACUGUUUUUCAAGACAGUCAAUAUUUCAGACAAGGAAUCUGAGACCUGGCUGGGAGAAGAGGACUUGCCUAAAGUUAUCCCACACAGCAAAUUAGUUGGAAAACCAGGAUAGUUGAGUAAAUAUCCUGGAGCCCAGCCAAGUAAUGAAGCCAGAAUUCAGAAAGCUGUUUUGGCUAGAUCUUGGAUUUUUACAAUAAAGGGUCUGUAAGGGAUAUUUGUGAAAAAUGUUGACACUUGACGGCUGUCCUGAUUCAUUCAGCUACCUAGGUUAUCUCUGCCUCUCUUUGACUUGUGUUUUGUCUUUUAAGAUGGCAGUCUUGCUCUUUUGCCUGGGCUGGUCUUGAACUCCUGGGCUCAAGCAGUUUUCCUGCUUUAGCCUCCUGAGUAGCUGGGGCUACAGGAGGACAUCACUGUGCCCAGCUCUCUCCGUAUCUUUGACUAGGUUAUUUUACAACCCCAUACGAUAGAAAUGAAGUUAUAGAAAACUGAUAGGAAUACAAAUAAUUAUUAUCCAUGGAAAUGCAAAUUGGAUCUAAUGGAAUGAAACUGAUUUUUUUUCCAGCAGAUAGUGACCACCUUUGUAUCCUUUUGUAAAUUCAUUUCAGCAUUCCAUAUUUGACUAAAAAUGUGUGACACUCCCAAUUUGCUUUUGAAUUCAUUGUAAUAUCUACCAAUUCCCUCAUUAAUUAAUGAGUUAAAUAAAGCCUUUGGCAUGUAUUUAUUUUGUAUCUAUAGGAGAGUCAUGAGUAUAUCUUCUUUUAAAAGGUAUUCUUCAGUAGGUCUUAGGGUGCACAAUACUUACAUCUUAUUUUCUCAUUCUACACUGUUCCCACACCUCACCCAGAAUAAAUGUAAUCUCCUGUGAGCUUCUGAACAUCAUGAAGAAUAACAGCUCAUUUUGUAAAGUCAUUUAGUAUUCG
rnacentral:lncRNA from 10 species